GGUGAGAAUAGUACCUAAAGGCAUGCUGUAGCUUCUUGCUUUGAAGUCUCUUGAACUGCUGUGCAACAAAUUUAAGGUCUUCAGCUUGAAGCGCAAAAGCUUCGACUUCAGACAGAGCUCUAACGGUCCGAGUUGAAGAAGGCAGGUUUACACUAGAAUUGGGCAUUAAAGCCCACGUCAAUAAUUCCUCACCACAAAAGUCACCAGGUCUAAGGGUGAUGGAGUUGAAGAAUCCAGAUCUUCCUCCAUUAGUCGUUGAGCUCUCCAAUUGUCCUCUAAUUAUAAACAGCAUCUCAUUUACUGGUUCACCCUCUCGAAAUAUAUAGGUGCCCUCAGUACUCAAAGAAGAGGC
rnacentral:misc_RNA from 1 species